rnacentral:rRNA from 1 species
GGGUUGUGAGGUUAAGCGACUAAGCGUACACGGUGGAUGCCCUGGCAGUCAGAGGCGAUGAAGGACGUGCUAAUCUGCGAAAAGCGCCGGCGAGGUGAUAUGAACCUUUGACCCGGCGAUGUCCGAAUGGGGAAACCCAGUGUGUUCCGACACACUAUCGUUAACUGAAUACAUAGGUUAACGAGGCGAACCGGGGGAACUGAAACAUCUAAGUACCCCGAGGAAAAGAAAUCAACCGAGAUUCCCCCAGUAGCGGCGAGCGAACGGGGAGCAGCCCAGAGUCUGAAUCAGCUUGUGUGUUAGUGGAAGCGUCUGGAAAGUCGCACGGUACAGGGUGACAGUCCCGUACACGAAAGCACACAGGUUGUGAACUCGAAGAGUAGGGCGGGACACGUGGUAUCCUGUCUGAAUAUGGGGGGACCAUCCUCCAAGGCUAAAUACUCCUGACUGACCGAUAGUGAACCAGUACCGUGAGGGAAAGGCGAAAAGAACCCCGGCGAGGGGAGUGAAAAAGAACCUGAAACCGUGUACGUACAAGCAGUGGGAGCACCUUCGUGGUGUGACUGCGUACCUUUUGUAUAAUGGGUCAGCGACUUAUAUUCUGUAGCAAGGUUAACCGUAUAGGGGAGCCGAAGGGAAACCGAGUCUUAACUGGGCGUUAAGUUGCAGGGUAUAGACCCGAAACCCGGUGAUCUAGCCAUGGGCAGGUUGAAGGUUGGGUAACACUAACUGGAGGACCGAACCGACUAAUGUUGAAAAAUUAGCGGAUGACUUGUGGCUGGGGGUGAAAGGCCAAUCAAACCGGGAGAUAGCUGGUUCUCCCCGAAAGCUAUUUAGGUAGCGCCUCGUGAACUCAUCUUCGGGGGUAGAGCACUGUUUCGGCUAGGGGGCCAUCCCGGCUUACCAACCCGAUGCAAACUACGAAUACCGAAGAAUGUUAUCACGGGAGACACACGGCGGGUGCUAACGUCCGUCGUGAAGAGGGAAACAACCCAGACCGCCAGCUAAGGUCCCAAAGUCAUGGUUAAGUGGGAAACGAUGUGGGAAGGCACAGACAGCCAGGAUGUUGGCUUAGAAGCAGCCAUCAUUUAAAGAAAGCGUAAUAGCUCACUGGUCGAGUCGGCCUGCGCGGAAGAUGUAACGGGGCUAAACCAUGCACCGAAGCUGCGGCAGCGACGCGUAUGCGUUGUUGGGUAGGGGAGCGUUCUGUAAGCCGUUGAAGGUGGCCUGUGAGGGUUGCUGGAGGUAUCAGAAGUGCGAAUGCUGACAUAAGUAACGAUAAAGCGGGUGAAAAGCCCGCUCGCCGGAAGACCAAGGGUUCCUGUCCAACGUUAAUCGGGGCAGGGUGAGUCGACCCCUAAGGCGAGGCCGAAAGGCGUAGUCGAUGGGAAGCAGGUUAAUAUUCCUGUACUUGGUGUUACUGCGAAGGGGGGACGGAGAAGGCUAUGUUAGCCGGGCGACGGUUGUCCCGGUUUAAGCAUGUAGGCGGAACGAUUAGGUAAAUCCGGUCGUUUUUUAACGCUGAGGUGUGAUGACGAGGCACUACGGUGCUGAAGUAACAAAUGCCCUGCUUCCAGGAAAAGCCUCUAAGCAUCAGGUAACAUUAAAUCGUACCCCAAACCGACACAGGUGGUCAGGUAGAGAAUACCAAGGCGCUUGAGAGAACUCGGGUGAAGGAACUAGGCAAAAUGGUGCCGUAACUUCGGGAGAAGGCACGCUGAUAUGUAGGUGAAGCCCCUGCGGGUGGAGCUGAAAUCAGUCGAAGAUACCAGCUGGCUGCAACUGUUUAUUAAAAACACAGCACUGUGCAAACACGAAAGUGGACGUAUACGGUGUGACGCCUGCCCGGUGCCGGAAGGUUAAUUGAUGGGGUUAGCGGCAACGCGAAGCUCUUGAUCGAAGCCCCGGUAAACGGCGGCCGUAACUAUAACGGUCCUAAGGUAGCGAAAUUCCUUGUCGGGUAAGUUCCGACCUGCACGAAUGGCGUAAUGAUGGCCAGGCUGUCUCCACCCGAGACUCAGUGAAAUUGAACUCGCUGUGAAGAUGCAGUGUACCCGCGGCAAGACGGAAAGACCCCGUGAACCUUUACUAUAGCUUGACACUGAACACUGGUCCUUGAUGUGUAGGAUAGGUGGGAGGCUUUGAAGUGUGGACGCCAGUCUGCAUGGAGCCGUCCUUGAAAUACCACCCUUUAAUGGCUGGUGUUCUAACGUAGACCCGUAAUCCGGGUUGCGGACAGUGUCUGGUGGGUAGUUUGACUGGGGCGGUCUCCUCCCAAAGAGUAACGGAGGAGCACGAAGGUUAGCUAAUCCUGGUCGGACAUCAGGAGGUUAGUGCAAUGGCAUAAGCUAGCUUGACUGCGAGAGUGACGGCUCGAGCAGGUGCGAAAGCAGGUCAUAGUGAUCCGGUGGUUCUGAAUGGAAGGGCCAUCGCUCAACGGAUAAAAGGUACUCCGGGGAUAACAGGCUGAUACCGCCCAAGAGUUCAUAUCGACGGCGGUGUUUGGCACCUCGAUGUCGGCUCAUCACAUCCUGGGGCUGAAGUAGGUCCCAAGGGUAUGGCUGUUCGCCAUUUAAAGUGGUACGCGAGCUGGGUUUAGAACGUCGUGAGACAGUUCGGUCCCUAUCUGCCGUGGGCGCUGGAGAAUUGAGGGGGGCUGCUCCUAGUACGAGAGGACCGGAGUGGACGCAUCACUGGUGUUCGGGUUGUCAUGCCAAUGGCACUGCCCGGUAGCUAAAUGCGGAAAAGAUAAGUGCUGAAAGCAUCUAAGCACGAAACUUGCCCCGAGAUGAGUUCUCCCUGAGACUUUAAGUCUCCUGAAGGAACGUUGAAGACGACGACGUUGAUAGGUCGGGUGUGUAAGCGCAGCGAUGCGUUGAGCUAACCGAUACUAAUGAACCGUGAGGCUUAACCUUACAACGCCGAAG